GGUUCGAUUCUGGCUCAGAUUGAACGCUGGCGGAUGCUUUUACACAUGCAAGUCGAACGGCAGCACGGACUUCGGUCUGGUGGCGAGUGGCGAACGGGUGAGUAAUGUGCCAUCGGAACGUGCCUAGUAGCGGGGAUAACUAUUUUAAAGCAAAAAAAGUAGCUAAUAAUGCAUACGCCCUUCGGGGAAAGCGGGGGACCUUCGGGCCUCGCACUAUUAGAGCGGUCACUAUAUCGGAUUAGCUUAGUUGGUGGGGUAACGGCUCACCGGCGACGAUCCGUAGCUAGCUGGUUUGAGAGGACGACCAGCCACACUGGGACUGAGACACGGGCCCGACUCCUACGGAGGCAGCAGUGGGGAAUUUUGGACAAUGGGGAAACCCUGAUCCGUCAUCCGCGUGCGAUGAAGGCCUUCGGGUUGUAAAGCACUUUUGGCAGGAAAGAAACGGCACGGGAUAAUACCCCGCAACCGGACGGUACCUGCAGGAAUAAGCACCGGCUAACUACGUGCCAGCAGCCGCGGUAAUACGUAGGUGCAAGCGCGACCGGAAUUACUUGGGCGAAGCGUGCGCAGGCGGUUCGGAAAGAAAGAUGUGAAAUCCCGAGCUUAACUUUCUUACAACCGCAUUUUUAACUACUGAGUUAGAGUGUGUCAGAGGGAGGUGGAAUUCCGGUGGCAGUGAAAUGCGUAGGAGGCGUGAGAACACCGAUACGAAGGCAGCCUUCCCGGGAUAACACUGGAUGUCACGUAAUGAAAGUGGGAGCACAAACAGACAUAUUCUGUAGUCCACGGUUUAAAACGAUGUCAACUAGCUGCUGGGGCCUUCGCCUUGGUAGUAAGGCUAACGCGUAGAAGUUGACCGUUUCGCCUUGGGGAGAGCAUGGUCGCAGAUUAAAUCAAAAGGAAUUGACGGGACCGCACGGGGCGGGUGACAUGGAUUAAUUCGAUGCAACUAAAAACCUUACCUACCUCUUGACACAUCUGGGAAUCCCGAAGAGAUUUGGGAGUGCUUUUCCUCGCAAGAGAACCGGAACACAGGCGCAUGGCCGCUACCGCUCGCACAUGAGAGCGUUGGGUUAAGUCCUGCAACGAGCGCAAAUUUACAGCAUAUACGAAAGGGCACUCUAAUGACUGCUUUGACAAAACCGGAGGAAGGUGGGAUACGACGUCAAGUCUCAUGGCCCUGCGAGGUGGUCACACGUCAUACAAUGGUCGGCCAGAGUGGUCGCCAACUGUGCGAGGGGGAGCCAUAAUCCCAAACCCAUCAGUCCGAUCAAAGCCAUAACCGACUGCGGAAGUCGGAAUCGCCAGCAUCAGUGGACUCAGCAUGUCGCAGGUGAAUACGCUCCCGGGUCUUGGACACCACAGCCCGUCACACUACGGAGCGGGUUUCAAUGGAAGUAGUUAGCUCAACCGGAUAUGGACAUUGUUGGCAGGGAUUCAUGAUUGGAAGAAGUCGUACUGCGUAAUCCGAAGUUACGCCUAUGAUACCUCUAGGAGAACAGAAUUGAACGAA
rnacentral:rRNA from 1 species